AUUGAACACUGGCGGCAGGCCUAACACAUGCAAGUCGAACGAGUGGCGGACGGGUGAGUAAUGUUUGGGAAACUGCCUGAUGGAGGGGGAUAAAUACCGGCAACGGUAGCUAAUACCUCAUACCAUCAGAUGUUCCCACGGGGGAUUAGCUUGUUGGUGGGGUAACGGCUCACCAAGUCGACGAUCCCUAGCUGGUCUGAGAGGAUGACCAGCCCCACUGGAACUGAGACACGGUCCAUACUCCUACGGGAGUCAACAGUGGGGAAUAUUGCACAAUGGGCGCAACCCUGAUGCAGCCAUGCCGCGUGUAUGAAGAAGGCCUUCGGGUUGUAAAGUACUUUCAGCAGGGAGGCGUUACCCGCAGAAGAAGCACCGGCUAACUCCGUGCCAGCAGCCGCGGGAAUAC
rnacentral:rRNA from 1 species